UUCCUAUGUUCCAGUUUCUGCCUGUUGCUCCUUAUUGUAUUGCUGCACACCACUGAAAAGAGCCUGAUCUCAUCCAUUUGGCUCUCGCACUUCAGAUAUUUAUAAACAGUGAUGAGAUCCCCACUCAGUCUUCUCUCCUCCAGGCUGAACAGCCCCAGGUCUCUAAGCCUUUCCUCACAAGGGAGAUGUUGCAGGCCCCUCAUCAUCUUCAUGGCCAGCAGAGGCUGGACUCUCUCUAGUUCUGUCUUUCUUGAACUGAGCAGCCCAAAACAGGACAGAGUACUCCAGAUGUGACCCCACCAGAGAGGUCCCCCAAGCAGGAGCACUGUCAGUAUUCCAAGCCCAGUACUUUUCUAAAACAGACCUGAAACUCUCACAUCAGUAGAUGAAAUAUUUGAAUUGUGUCAUGCACUGCCUGUGUUUGUGCAUGUGAAAGAGGGUAUCCAGAAACAGGUGUUUAAACAAACAUUUUCACAUUGCAGGCUUUCUUGCUACCUGAAAGUUUCAUUUUAAAAAGUGAAAAAUGUCAGAUGCUAGAGACAAAAUUGUUCUAAUACAUUUGUGUGAGUGCAGUGUCAGCAAAGGCAGUUUGCUGUAGGAUGCCCAGCAGCUCCUUCACUCUCAGCCAUUGACUACUGAUUUGUCUCAUGGGCCAGCUUGGAACCAUUUCUUACCUGUGCUUAAUUGCUCUUCAUCAGCUGUUCUGGCCACUUGACCAAGACGUUAGAAAGCUGAGGAAAGAUGGUCAGAUUUUAAGAAGUAGCUGUGACCCAUGGAUAAAUCUGCCAAGGUAUUUCUCUCAAAGUGCAGUACAGCUAGCCAGCCAUGUAAGUCAUCCGCAUCUGUAAAUUCUUGGGCCUCUUUCUGUCUCUCCUGCACCAGUCAUUUUCCUGGUAUUUUAGAUCUGAGUGAUAAACCACAUCCCAACUCAAACACAUCAAAGGACAAGGCUUUCUGAACUAAUCAAAAAACAACCAAAAGAGAGCAAUCCUCUGCAGUGCCACUGCAAGUGACACGAGAACCUAACCUGCUGCGGUAGGGUGGUGGUGGAUGCAGCACAGUGGAAGCUAAGAGCUGUUCCAAGCGAAUAUGUUGCACAGGGCUACAUGGAGUGCUACAAAGCGGCAAAAUGCAAGUUGGCCACUAGCUGUGAAGUCAUACAGUGACUUCCAUAUUGGAAUAUAUAUUCUGUACUAUUGAAUCAGUAUGUAGCAGUGCACAUAUCAAUCAACUGAUACAGAUAUAUGUAUUUAUGUGGAUUUGGGGUACUUUUUGGAAUAAAUCUGCACAAGUUGAUGAUUUGACAUUACAUUCCAAGUCAUCAGGGAGCAGAAUACAAAAACAGUAAGGCUGAGUAAGAAAAACAAAGGCAGUCCAAAGUUUUCACUACAUAGAUACAGAGAUCACUGCAUUAGUGACACCAGCAUAUCUAAAAGUCAGAUUUUUCAAGUGCUGAUACAUCAAGUCAGGCACUUGUAUGUAAACAUACAAACAGUAAGGAUUUUUUUUUCAGCAGCUCCCUUUGAAAGUUGUCUGUUUAUAUGUAUGUGUAUUUAGAAAUCUGCAAGCAUUACAGUGAUUUGGCAUUCUUGCUGAGUUUUAGCACCACCUCCAAUCAGCCCCACCUUUUUCAGCUUGGACUAGUGUGCCAGCUCAGUGAGGCACUCCAUUAUUUGUGAUGGAGACAGCAUGUAUGUGAUACACCCAGAGGCCCAAAUGAGUCAUUGUUACCUGGACAUGUUGAAAAAUGUGCUUAAGCAGCAAAUGGAUUCUGCUAGUCCUUCUUGCACAAUUAGCCCCACUGGAAUUCAGAGGAGAGGAUAAAACUGAACUGAUACUGAGAACAGCUCAGUGCUCCCAUGUGAGCUAUUUUCACACAUGGGCAGUAGAAAUAAGUAAACAGAGGUAUUUUUAUUUUGCUGAAACAAAGUAAAGUUUUGUAGGUGCUACCCUGGGUGGAAUUGGUGGAACAAGUUAUCUUGGAACAAUAACAAGUGACACGGGUAUUGCUUAAAAUUCUACUUACUGUGGGAAAAUGUCAGUAUCAUAACUGGAAGAUACUGCUUCAACCUUGCUUCACUGCUCCUAGGAAGGGCCAGGCCAGUCCUGACUUACCUGAAGCCACAUCCUAAGUUCCUUGACUUUCUUAUACUUCAAAGUGUUACUGAGACCAAAUGUCCAGUAAACUCUGCAAGCCUUGGUGUCUUUUUCUUCCCAAGGAAAACUCCAUGCAGAAGAGAAUGAAAUGCAGUAAUUUGGAGCUUCUUGCUCAUGCCUCUUAGCAGAAGGUGGAGUUCUGUUUCUUAACACACGGAUUCAUGAAAACUGUCUGGGUCCUAGGAGACUGUCUUUAAACAAGUCAGUCUAAAGUAGAUGCAAUAUUCCCUCCUGGCUUCUUAAACCAAGAGCUACGGUCUGUUCUACAGCUCUUUAUCCUAACUCACCUCCUCUGGAACUGCAUGUAUUAGCAGAAUGCAACUCCAUGGAUGUGAAGAUGAUACAGUUAUGUCUGAACAUCAGUUUAGUAAGCAGAGGGAAGCUCCUUUAUACAUAAUCCUAAGGCUAGGCAUCAUCUCUCUGUCUGUCUAGGCUUUGUAGAAGAUUAUUUUCUAACCCUAAAUGAUGUACCCAAAAACUGUGUUUCAGGCUUAGGACACUGGGUACUAAGUUUUUAAUUAUUCAUGCCAGUACUUGAGGUGACUGUCUCUGUCUAUACGAGGGAGAUAACUAUAUUUUACUUCAUAAACUGAAUUCCUAGGGCAGGCAGAAAUUCCUCUCUAUGCCUUGUUAAUUAACUUAUAACAGCAGCUGCCAUGCCCUCCUACUUCACAUGCCAUCUUGUGAGCUUAUUUAAUACCAUCCUCUCUUUGAUACCUUCCUUGCAUGGAGAAGAACCAAGUAAAUUUGAAGUAGGUGAAACACACUGAUAACUGAUGGUAGCUGACAUUCAAAGCAGAAAUGUGAAUAUGACUUGGAAAUUGAUUUUUGUUAUUGUUGCUUAUGAAAACUAGGUCUAGAAUUCCAAACAAGGUUCUAAAUUGUCACAAUAAGACAGAAUGUGACUUCCGUGUUCCUACCUCCUACAGUUCUGCGUAGCAAAGACAAGUUUGCACGUGCAAGCUACUUAUCUGGCUACGUAUCUUUGUGACAUGAUUGCUGUGCAUCAUUACUCCUGUGCAAUGACUGCCUGGGAAGCGAGAACUUAGCCUGAGUGGCAGCACUCAUAAAGUUUGUGUUUCUGAGGAAAUGAAGGGUCCUACCAUGACUGACUGUACAUUUUAUAUUUUCUGCACAACUCCUGAGUUUGUGUUGCUGGAAGCACAGAAACCUAACAGUGAUAGUACAAGGGAAUUUUGUUACUAUAAAGUACGCAUUACAAGUGAAGGAAAAAAGAGGCAGCCUCUCCCUGCCACACACAUCCACAACUC